UUUACUAGACAGAUGGGCUUCGAUCCCAUGACUCUGUAGUUAACAGCUACAUGCCCCAACCAACAGGCCUCUGCCUA
rnacentral:tRNA from 1 species